AUUGAACGCUGGCGGCAUGCCUUACACAUGCAAGUCGAACGGCAGCACGGGGGCAACCCUGGUGGCGAGUGGCGAACGGGUGAGUAAUGCAUCGGAACGUGCCCAGUAGUGGGGGAUAACCAGUCGAAAGACUGGCUAAUACCGCAUACGACCUACGGGUGAAAGCGGGGGACCGUAAGGCCUCGCGCUAUUGGAGCGGCCGAUGUCUGAUUAGCUAGUUGGCGGGGUAAGAGCCCACCAAGGCGACGAUCAGUAGCUGGUCUGAGAGGACGACCAGCCACACUGGGACUGGGACACGGCCCAGACUCCUACGGGAGGCAGCAGUGGGGAAUUUUGGACAAUGGGCGCAAGCCUGAUCCAGCCAUGCCGCGUGCGGGAAGAAGGCCUUCGGGUUGUAAACCGCUUUUGGCAGGAACGAAACGGCGCAAGCCAAUACCUUGCGCUAAUGACGGUACCUGCAGAAUAAGCACCGGCUAACUACGUGCCAGCCGCCGCCGUAAUAC
rnacentral:rRNA from 1 species